AUAGUUACCUGACAUGGGAGAUACCAUGAUCAGGAAGGUGGUUUUCCCAGGGUGAAGCUCAUCCAUUGCACUUGGGAUGUGCUGACCCCUGCAAUUUCCCCAAAUGCAGGAAACUCGGUUGCAUAAUUUGUGGUAGUGGAGGACUGCGUUCAUGUACUCCCCUG
ensembl:snRNA U1 U1 spliceosomal RNA